AACAGUGGCGGACGGGUGAGUAACACGUGAGCAACCUGCCUAUCAGAGGGGGAUAACGUUCUGAAAAGAACGCUAAUACCGCAUGAAGUACGAAAGGGACAUCCCAUUUGUACCAAAGGAGCAAUCCGCUGAUAGAUGGGCUCGCGUCCGAUUAGGUAGUUGGUAGGGUAACGGCCUACCAAGCCGACGAUCGGUAGCCGGACUGAGAGGUUGAACGGCCACAUUGGGACUGAGACACGGCCCAGACUCCUACGGGAGGCAGCAUG
rnacentral:rRNA from 1 species